rnacentral:tRNA from 1 species
GGGGAUAUAGCUCAGUUGGUAGAGUGCUUGCCUUUCAUGCACAAGGCCCUGGGUUCAGUCACCAGCACCACAAAAAAAAAAAAGGACUGGAGCUAUAUAGCUCAGCACUCUUGGGUUCAAUCCCCAGUACCCCCA